AUUUGUCUCAAGGGUCUGAGUAAGUCUGACCCAGUUCCUGGAGAAAUCAAUAAGAACUUUUCCAGUGAUUUCAGAAAAAAUUGAAUCAGAUCCAACAGUCAGAGAAUUCUGAGCUAAGCUGAAAUUUAUCCUGUUUAUUCUUAUGUACUAUUUCAGCUCCCUCUCCAGUCAAAACCUGACAGAGUAAAUGAGAAGUUACAGAACAAAACUUGGCUUAAUGUUGCUUGAUCUCUGUUUUCCCACAGCUCCUCCUGUAUAUCCUAUUAUCCCAAAAGACAGAAUGAAACAAAUAAAUACAUAAAGUUCACUGUACACAGUUAUUUAUUAUUAAUACAAGCCAGCUCCUAAUGGGGAUAGUACAGAUAAGUGGAAAUGCCUGUGUUUUAUAACCUGGUGUUAAUAUGCAAAUAAUUUUAUUGAAAAUAAUUAUUACUGUAACUAGAAACCAAAAGCAUCAAAAAUAUUGCUCAAAUUAAUUCUCUGUUAAUUUUAAUGGAACUAAUUGGAAAUCAGUCUUUUCUAAAGACAAAUAUCUGGCAAAGACAUUCAGUUCCUUCUUGGUUAAUCCAAAUGAAGAAAGCUGACAGUAUAUAAAAGCUGUACCAAUAAACUUAGCAAAUAUUGCAGCAUUAAUUCUAUUGUUUGCAUAUGCAAUUCCUCUCCCUCAACCCUACAGACAUUUUCCUUUAUGUUUUCUGUUCUAACAGUACAUAUGACCUGUCCUUCAAAUAUCUUUUUAGAAGAAAUAUUAGUACUGGCAGCCAGUAUGUUGUAGAUGUACCUUGGCAGAACAAAAGUAUCUUGCUUUAAAAAGUACCUGCCCUAGAGCAUUUAAAAAGAAUGUCAAACCGUAAAGUAGGUCAGCCUGAGCAGUUUUCUCAUGACAAGAGCAAUGUAAGCAAUGUGCUAAGUUUUUCUGUGCAGCUAUCACGCUUAUGUUUGCCAUAUGUCUCUUGGUCUGUUUUUAUAAUUUCUUUGUUGCUACUGUUUGAUACCCAAAGCUUUUAUUAAUGGACACCAAACAGUUGGAAGGAACUCAGAGCUGGCAGAUGUGUCAGCUUUGGCCACAACAGGCAAUAGAUACAGGAAGGCAGUUCUCUGGGUCACAGCCAGCAAAGUUCAUCCUUGUCCAAAAAUUCCUAUCAGUAUCAGUUGCAUUCUUAGAAGUACUUCACCCUCAAACCUCAGGUUUCCCUACAGGUUUUUUUUUCCUUUACAGCAAAUGUUAUUUACUUUAAAACAGCCCAGAGGACUACGAAGGCUUUAAGAGGCUCAGCACACUCUCUGGUGGUGAAGGUGGCUGUUGGAUGACAGCAGCCAGGAACCUGGUGAAGGGCUGAGCCCAGCACAGGAAGCAAAUGUUGGGACUGGAACAGAGACUGAACACACCAUCACAGCAUACCUGUGGAUGACAGAUGAAAACAAUAAACUGGCAAUAAGCUUAAAAG